GUCCUAGCCGUAAACGGUGCUUGCUUGCUGUAAAAGGAAUCGACCCCUUUUGUGGCGAAGCCAACGCGAUAAGCAAGCCGCCUGGGAAGUACGGUCGCAAGAUUAAAACUCAAAGAAAUUGACGGGGGCCUGCACAAGCGGUGGAGUAUGUGGCUUAAUUCGAUGCAACGCGAAGAACCUUACCUGGCCUUGACAUGCAUCUAGUAGAAGGGUGAAAGCCCGACGAGGUAGCAAUACCAGGAUGCACAGGUGCUGCAUGGCUGUCGU
rnacentral:rRNA from 1 species